CCUACGGGCGGCAGCAGUGGGGAAUAUUGGACAAUGGGGGCAACCCUGAUCCAGCCAUGCCGCGUGUGUGAAGAAGGCCCUCGGGUUGUAAAGCACUUUCAGUGAGGAAGAACGCCUGGUGGUUAAUACCCAUCAGGAAAGACAUCACUCACAGAAGAAGCACCGGCUAACUCCGUGCCAGCAGCCGCGGUAAUACGGAGGGUGCGAGCGUUAAUCGGAAUUACUGGGCGUAAAGCGCGCGUAGGUGGCUUGAUAAGCCGGUUGUGAAAGCCCCGGGCUCAACCUGGGAACGGCAUCCGGAACUGGCAAGCUAGAGUGCAGGAGAGGAAGGUAGAAUUCCCGGUGUAGCGGUGAAAUGCGUAGAGAUCGGGAGGAAUACCAGUGGCGAAGGCGGCCUUCUGGACCGACACUGACACUGAGGUGCGAAAGCGUGGGUAGCAAACAGGAUUAGAUACCCUGGUAGUC
rnacentral:rRNA from 1 species